UACGAGGGGAGCAAGCGUUGUUCGGAUUUACUGGGCGUAAAGGGCGCGUAGGCGGCGUGACAAGUCACUUGUGAAAUCUCCGGGCUUAACUCGGAACGGUCAAGUGAUACUGUCGUGCUAGAGUACAGAAGGGGCAACUGGAAUUCUCGGUGUAGCGGUGAAAUGCGCAGAUAUCAGGAGGAACACCAAUGGCGAAGGCAGCUCGCUGGGACGUGACUGACGCUGAGACGCGAAAGCGUGGGGAGCAAACAGG
rnacentral:rRNA from 1 species